rnacentral:lncRNA from 1 species
AUUUUCGGACUAAGUAAAUUGAGUUAAAUUAUCUUAAAAUGAUCUGAAGAAUCUCCUGUCUUCGUUUGUCGGUAGAGUUUCGGGACACCCUGUAUAGUAAUGUGAUUGUUACAUGACGGUUCUCAGUCGUGUUGGAAGAAACCUACAUUUGUUACCAUCCUUCUCAAAUAAUUUGGUGCCUAAACUAUUUCUGAACCGUUCUUUCGGCGCUUCAAACGGCUGUGUUGAAUAAUAUCAAUCUCAGUCAUACAAUGUUUUAUAACAUUCACAAUAUGUGAAUAGGUAUUUUCAUGCAUAAGGAUGAAGUUUUUUUUGGCUUUAAGGUAAAACCCACACAGCCAGAUACAAAUUUUCUAAAAGAGAGGACAAGGAUUUAACACAAGGAUUACACUCUUCUCGCCCGGGAGCCGAUCAGGGCAUUUUAUAAGGAUGAAGUUGAUAGCUGAAGCAUCCAUACGAACCAAUAUAAUGCACUAAACACUCGAACCUAUCGACGGUUGAUAUCGAUUUCAGAUAAAAUAUAUCCUUAUUCCGAAAAACUUCUGAACCAGAGGAAGAUAUCUUCCUCUUCCAAAGAGGAAGAUAUUAACGCGAUGGGCAGACAAAUGAAGACUGCUGGGGUCCAUCUUGCAUAGGAGUCCAUCUCGCAGCCAAUGGAAACAUACCUAUAUAAAAAACUUUAAUAUCGAAAAAAAAACUGUCGUAAUUGGUAUAAGUUUACUUAUAACAGCAAUAGGUAUUUUGGCUUUCAUGUUAAAGUGUUUUAAGUAUAUGGUAAGCUAUUUCACAUGAGGAUCUUUCAGUGCGUCACAGUUUUUCGAUUUCUUUCUAACGCAUUAAAUUGUAUGUGACAGAAAAAAACGCACGUCGGUGAUUACAUUUCGUCGGUGAUAUUUAUAACAUUUAUUCUAGUUGUCAAUAGAUGGCGCUCUAAUCGGAAAAAAAUUAUUUACUAAUUAUAUAAUAUAUAUCUACGAAUAUAAUCUGUACAAUUUAUAAGACUGUACAAAUCAAAGAAAAUGCCAUUUUAUAAAUGCAAUAGACAAUUGAUUUGUUUUUAUGCCAAAUUUCAAAUAAAAUGUGACAACUGUAAGAUUUAACUAAAAUGUCAUGUUAGAUUAAAUGUCAUAAAUGUGUAUUAUUACGGACUUACCUUUUUUUUCUGUCAUUUGUGACGCACUGAAAAAUGCUCAUGAAAAGAGGCAUAUACAGCGAACUCUCAAGAACUCUCCCGUUUUAACAUAAUAUAUAACUAUAGUUUCUAAAGAAGUGUUUAAGAAGUAAAACUUCAGAUAUAGUUUAUGCUGUGAGGGAAGUUAAGAAAAUUUCAAAAACCCAUUAAGUUCCUUUUAAAUGCUAGUACCAAUAAACUUAUUCAAGUUUAAGAAGUAUGAAGUGGUCCGGGUUUUUGUCCAGCAGUAUAUAUCACAUUCGUGAUUACUCCUACGAUUUACUUUCUGCAAUACGAAUUUCUAAUUCUACCUGUUUACGAACUGGUUUUGAUUUGUAUAUCCAAUUCAUGCUGCGAGUACAAUCUCCAUAAAUAUUUAUACAUUGUAUUUUUAUUUUAUUACUAAUAGCCUACUUACCCAAUAAGUGUACUAAGAGAAUGUAUAUAUAGUAGCAUUUUUUCACA